AGCCUGAACGCUGGCGGCGUGGCUAAGACAUGCAAGUCGCACGGACCCGCAAGGGUUAGUGGCGAACGGGUGAGUAAUGAAUCGCUAAUGUACCCCGGACUCUGGGAUAGCUACCCGAAAGGGUAGGUAAUACCAGAUGAUAUGCAGUUGUCGCAUGACAAUUGCCUCAAAGGUCCGCCGGUCUGGGAGCAGGCGAUUUCGUAUCAGCUAGUUGGUGAGGUAACGGCUCACCAAGGCGACGACGCGUAGCCGGACUGAGAGGUUGGCCGGCCACAUUGGGACUGAGACACUGCCCAGACUCCUACGGGGGGCUGCAGUAACGAAUCUUCCGCAAUGCACGAAAGUGUGACGGAGCGACGCCGCGUGUGGGACGAAGCCCUUCGGGGUGUAAACCACUGUCAGGGGUUAGAAAGUUCUGAUCAACCCCAGAGGAAGGACGGCUAACUCUGCGCCAGCAGCCGC
rnacentral:rRNA from 1 species